rnacentral:rRNA from 1 species
AACGAACGCUGGCGGCGCGCCUAAUACAUGCAAGUCGAACGAGAAGCUGUAGCAAUACAGUUGUACAGUGGCGAACGGGUGAGGAAUACAUGGGUGACCUACCCUCGAGUGGGGAAUAACCAGCCGAAAGGUUGGCUAAUACCGCGUACGCUUCCCAGUCUACGGGUUGGGAAGGAAAGCGAUACCGUGGGUAUCGCGCUCUUGGAUGGGCUCAUGUCCUAUCAGCUUGNGGUGAGGUAACGGCUCACCAAGGCUUCGACGGGUAGCUGGUCUGAGAGGACGAUCAGCCACACU